GGCAAACGGGUUGCGUAACACGUUACGCAACUUACCCAUUUACAGGGGAAUAGCCCAGGGAAACUUGGAUUAAUACCCCAUAUUAUAUAGAACUGGCAUCAGUUUUAUAUCAAAGCUUCGGCGGUAAUGGAUGGGCGUGCGGUUGAUUAGAUAGUUGGCGGGGUAACGGCCCACCAAGUCUACGAUCAAUAGCUGAUGUGAGAGCAUGAUCAGCCACACGGGCACUGAGACACGGGCCCGACUCCUACGGGAGGCAGCAGUAAGGAAUAUUGGGCAAUGGACGAAAGUCUGACCCAGCCAUGCCGCGUGAAGGAUGAAGGUCCUCUGGAUUGUAAACUUCUUUUAUCUGGGGCGAAAAUCACCCUUUCUAGGGUGCUUGACAGUACCAGAGGAAUAAGCACCGGCUAACUCCGUGCCAGCAGCCGCGGUAAUACGGAGGGUGCAAGCGUUAUCCGGAUUUACUGGGUUUAAA
rnacentral:rRNA from 1 species